rnacentral:rRNA from 1 species
UACAGAGGGUGCGAGCGUUGUUCGGAAUCAUUGGGCGUAAAGCGCUUGUAGGCGGCUUGUUAAGUCGCGUGUGAAAUCCCUUGGCUCAACCAAGGAAGUGCGCGCGAAACUGGCGAGCUCGAGUGCCGGAGAGGGUCGCGGAAUUCCCGGUGUAGAGGUGAAAUUCGUAGAUAUCGGGAGGAACACCAGUGGCGAAGGCGGCGACCUGGACGGACACUGACGCUGAGACGCGAAAGCGUGGG